rnacentral:misc_RNA from 1 species
UUUCCGUAGGUGAACCUGCGGAAGGAUCAUUAAUGAGUUGUCAUGGGGUUCGAUGCUGGCAGCCAGUUCUUGGAUGCAUGUGCUUGCCCUAACAAUCAUCUUCUUCCAAACACCUGUGCACAUUUUUGAGGGAGUCUUGAGUUGGUUGCCGCUCUUGGGUGAUUUUCUCACAUUCCCUUAAAUCAUUAUACGCUAUUAACAAUGUUGAACGUGCUCUGUGCCGCAAGGCCAUUAAUAUAAUACAACUUUUAACAACGGAUCUCUUGGCUCUC